rnacentral:rRNA from 1 species
AUUGAACGCUGGCGGAAUGCUUUACACAUGCAAGUCGAACGGCAGCACGGGGGCAGCCCUGGUGGCGAGUGGCGAACGGGUGAGUAAUACAUCGGAACGUGCCCGGUCGUGGGGGAUAACGUAGCGAAGGUUACGCUAAUACCGCAUACGAUCUGAGGAUGAAAGCGGGGGACCUUCGGGCCUCGCGCGAUCGGAGCGGCCGAUGUCAGAUUAGGUAGUUGGUGGGGUAAAGGCCUACCAAGCCGACGAUCUGUAGCUGGUCUGAGAGGACGACCAGCCACACUGGGACUGAGACACGGCCCAGACUCCUACGGGAGGCAGCAGUGGGGAAUUUUGGACAAUGGGCGCAAGCCUGAUCCAGCCAUUCCGCGUGCAGGACGAAGGCCUUCGGGUUGUAAACUGCUUUUGUACGGAACGAAAAGGCUCUGGCUAAUACCUGGGGCUCAUGACGGUACCGUAAGAAUAAGCACCGGCUAACUACGUG